GAUGAACGCUGGCGGCGUGCCUAAUACAUGCAAGUCGAGCGAACAGACGAGGAGCUUGCUCCUCUGACGUUAGCGGCGGACGGGUGAGUAACACGUGGAUAACCUACCUAUACGACUGGGAUAACUUCGGGAAACCGGAGCUAAUACCGGAUAAUAUAUUGAACCGCAUGGUUCAAUAGUGAAAGACGGUUUUGCUGUCACUUAUAGAUGGAUCCGCGCCGCAUUAGCUAGUUGGUAAGGUAACGGCUUACCAAGGCGACGAUGCGUAGCCGACCUGAGAGCGUGAUCGGCCACACUGGAACUGAGACACGGUCCAGACUCCUACGGGAGGCAGCAGUAGGGAAUCUUCCGCAAUGGGCGAAAGCCUGACGGAGCAACGCCGCGUGAGGGAUGAAGGUCUUAGGAUCGUAAAGCUCUGUUAUUAGGGAAGAACAAAUGUGUAAGUAACUAUGCACGUCUUGACGGUACCUAAUCAGAAAGCCACGGCUAACUACGUG
rnacentral:rRNA from 1 species